rnacentral:rRNA from 1 species
CCUACGGGUGGCAGCAGUGGGGAAUAUUGGACAAUGGGGGCAACCCUGAUCCAGCCAUGCCGCGUGUGUGAAGAAGGCCCUCGGGUUGUAAAGCACUUUCAGUGAGGAAGAACGCCUGGUGGUUAAUACCCAUCAGGAAAGACAUCACUCACAGAAGAAGCACCGGCUAACUCCGUGCCAGCAGCCGCGGUAAUACGGAGGGUGCGAGCGUUAAUCGGAAUUACUGGGCGUAAAGCGCGCGUAGGUGGCUUGAUAAGCCGGUUGUGAAAGCCCCGGGCUCAACCUGGGAACGGCAUCCGGAACUGUCAAGCUAGAGUGCAGGAGAGGAAGGUAGAAUUCCCGGCGUAGCGGUGAAAUGCGUAGAGAUCGGGAGGAAUACCAGUGGCGAAGGCGGCCUUCUGGACUGACACUGACACUGAGGUGCGAAAGCGUGGGUAGCAAACAGGAUUAGAUACCCUGGUAGUC